CAGGUGAUUCUGGAGCUGCAGUUGCUUGUCCCUUUUGUAUAUUAGAGAAACGAAUAGCUAGAUAUUUUUUCGUCCUGAGGUUUUGGAUGGAAAUAAUAAGUACCAAGUACGAGAAUGAUAGCAAAGAAUCAAAUGUAAAUUCUUCAAGCACCAAA